rnacentral:rRNA from 1 species
AGUGAACGCUGGCGGUAGGCCUAACACAUGCAAGUCGAACGGCAGCACAGUAAGAGCUUGCCCUUACGGGUGGCGAGUGGCGGACGGGUGAGGAAUACAUCGGAAUCUACUUUUUCGUGGGGGAUAACGUAGGGAAACUUACGCUAAUACCGCAUACGACCUACGGGUGAAAGCAGGGGAUCUUCGGACCUUGCGCGAUUGAAUGAGCCGAUGUCGGAUUAGCUAGUUGGCGGGGUAAAGGCCCACCAAGGCGACGAUCCGUAGCUGGUCUGAGAGGAUGAUCAGCCACACUGGAACUGAGACACGGUCCAGACUCCUACGGGAGGCAGCAGUGGGGAAUAUUGGACAAUGGGCGCAAGCCUGAUCCAGCCAUACCGCGUGGGUGAAGAAGGCCUUCGGGUUGUAAAGCCCUUUUGUUGGGAAAGAAAAGCAGCAGGUUAAUACCCCGCUGUUAUGACGGUACCCAAAGAAUAAGCACCGGCUAACUUCGUG